GGGGGUAUAGCUUAGUGGCAGAGCACAUGCUUAGCAUGCACAAGGUCCUGGGUUCAAUCCCCAGUUCCUCUG
rnacentral:tRNA from 1 species